GUGAUCGUAGCUUAACCGGCAAAGCACGCGGCUGUGACCCGCGCAGAUAUCGGAUCAUUCCCGAUCGAUCACCCCA
rnacentral:tRNA from 1 species